GGCUCUGUUGCGCAAUGGAUAGCGCGUUGGACUUCAAAGUGCCUGUCUAGUAAACAGGAGAUCCUGGGUUCAAAUCCCAGCAGUGCCU